rnacentral:rRNA from 1 species
GUGGAUUAGAUACCCCGGUAGUCCAUGCCGUAAACGAUGUCUACUAGCCGUUGGGGCCUUUGAGGCUUUAGUGGCGCAGCUAACGCGAUAAGUAGACCGCCUGGGGAGUACGGUCGCAAGACUAAAACUCAAAUGAAUUGACGGGGGCCCGCACAAGCGGUGGAGCAUGUGGUUUAAUUCGAUGCAACGCGAAGAACCUUACCUGGUCUUGACAUAGUAAGAACUUUCCAGAGAUGGAUUGGUGCCUUCGGGAACUUACAUACAGGUGCUACACGGUCGUCGACAGCU